UUCAUUUGUUUUUGAUUAUUGAAAAGAAGAGGAGAAAAUGGAUUGAUUGAUACAGGGAUCCAGGAGGUACUGAAAAAGGGACAAUGCUUCGACUGAAUGUGUCAUUCAUUUACAUGUACCAGUAUAGAUCUGUUACUGAGGCAUAUCCAAUAAUUCUUAUAAUCAUGAAGAGUGUGGCAACUUCCAAGUAGUUGAUGCUGGGACUCAUUUUAAAUCAGAUGCUCACUUCUAGGAUGUUUCCAGGUUCUUGUUAAAAGUGUUUUAUAUGGCACCAUUCAGCUACAAAUACUUUGCCGGUGGAACUGUGACAUCAAUCAACUGCUCAUGCCACUGCUGAUUGGCA